UGGGGAAUUUUGGACAAUGGGCGCAAGCCUGAUCCAGCCAUGCCGCGUGCGGGAAGAAGGCCUUCGGGUUGUAAACCGCUUUUGUCAGGGAAGAAAUCUUCUGAGUUAAUACCUCGGGAGGAUGACGGUACCUGAAGAAUAAGCACCGGCUAACUACGUGCCAGCAGCCGCGGUAAUACGUAGGGUGCAAGCGUUAAUCGGAAUUACUGGGCGUAAAGCGUGCGCAGGCGGUUUUGUAAGACAGAGGUGAAAUCCCCGGGCUCAACCUGGGAACUGCCUUUGUGACUGCAAGGCUUGAGUGCGGCAGAGGGGGAUGGAAUUCCGCGUGUAGCAGUGAAAUGCGUAGAUAUGCGGAGGAACACCGAUGGCGAAGGCAAUCCCCUGGGCCUGCACUGACGCUCAUGCACGAAAGCGUGGGGAGCAAACAGGAUUAGAUACCCUGGUAGUCCACGCCCUAAACGAUGUCAACUGGUUGUUGGGAAGGUUCCCUUCUCAGUAACGUAGCUAACGCNUGAAGUUGACCGCCUGGGGAGUACGGCCGCAAGGUUGAAAC
rnacentral:rRNA from 1 species